UACGUAGGGGGCAAGCGUUGUCCGGAUUUAUUGGGCGUAAAGAGCGUGUAGGCGGCUAGACAGGUCCGCUGUGAAAACUCGAGGCUCAACCUCGAGACGUCGGUGGAAACCGUUUGGCUAGAGUCCGGAAGAGGAGAGUGGAAUUCCCGGUGUAGCGGUGAAAUGCGCAGAUAUCGGGAAGAACACCCGUGGCGAAGGCGGCUCUCUGGAACGCAACUGACGCUGAGACGCGAAAGCGUGGGGAGCAAACAGG
rnacentral:rRNA from 1 species